CAACCGAGAUUCCCCCAGUAGCGGCGAGCGAACGGGGAGCAGCCCAGAGCCUGAAUCAGUGUGUGUGUUAGUGGAAGCGUCUGGAAAGGCGUGCGAUACAGGGUGACAGCCCCGUACACAAAAAUGCACAUAUUGUGAGCUCGAUGAGUAGGGCGGGACACGUGGUAUCCUGUCUGAAUAUGGGGGGACCAUCCUCCAAGGCUAAAUACUCCUGACUGACCGAUAGUGAACCAGUACCGUGAGGGAAAGGCGAAAAGAACCCCGGCGAGGGGAGUGAAAAAGAACCUGAAACCGUGUACGUACAAGCAGUGGGAGCACGCUUAGGCGUGUGACUGCGUACCUUUUGUAUAAUGGGUCAGCGACUUAUAUUCUGUAGCAAGGUUAACCGAAUAGGGGAGCCGAAGGGAAACCGAGUCUUAACUGGGCGUUAAGUUGCAGGGUAUAGACCCGAAACCCGGUGAUCUAGCCAUGGGCAGGUUGAAGGUUGGGUAACACUAACUGGAGGACCGAACCGACUAAUGUUGAAAAAUUAGCGGAUGACUUGUGGCUGGGGGUGAAAGGCCAAUCAAACCGGGAGAUAGCUGGUUCUCCCCGAAAGCUAUUUAGGUAGCGCCUCGUGAAUUCAUCUCCGGGGGUAGAGCACUGUUUCGGCAAGGGGGUCAUCCCGACUUACCAACCCGAUGCAAACUGCGAAUACCGGAGAAUGUUAUCACGGGAGACACACGGCGGGUGCUAACGUCCGUCGUGAAGAGGGAAACAACCCAGACCGCCAGCUAAGGUCCCAAAGUCAUGGUUAAGUGGGAAACGAUGUGGGAAGGCCCAGACAGCCAGGAUGUUGGCUUAGAAGCAGCCAUCAUUUAAAGAAAGCGUAAUAGCUCACUGGUCGAGUCGGCCUGCGCGGAAGAUGUAACGGGGCUAAACCAUGCACCGAAGCUGCGGCAGCGACACUAUGUGUUGUUGGGUAGGGGAGCGUUCUGUAAGCCUGUGAAGGUGUACUGUGAGG
rnacentral:rRNA from 1 species